UUGCAAGCCAGACAAAUUUCACAUUCUGUUAGAGUGGUGACAGUGACAGCAAAACAGUUCUGAUAUCAAACUAGUUAGCUCAUCUCAUAUCUAGCUCACAUUCAAAAGACAGUAACUUAAAAUCUUAAGGUAAACUCCCACAGACACUGAUUUUACGAAGAAGGUAACUUCAGAGUUAACAAAAUAUGUGAUAGUAAGAAUGGAGAAACAUAGUACAAGAGCUACUGCUGAAGCUGAAACAGAAACACAUAUCAAUGCUAAAGGCACAGGGAUACAAACAAAACUUAAGCCACAUCAAGAAAGGCGUGGAUCAGAUGUAAUUGAUAGUAUUGGUGAAGCAUCAGUAUUUACAGAAAGAAGCACCAGCAAAACGCUGAAUAUACAUGUUGAAUUUCAGUCGACUCAACGUAGAAGUUCAGAUGUGGUAGACUAUAUUGGUGAUAAACAUAGUGAAGUUAAUGAUAAGGAGACUAAAAUCACAGAAGUUGACAAGGCUG